UACGUAGGGUGCAAGCGUUGUCCGGAAUUAUUGGGCGUAAAGGGCUCGUAGGCGGUUUGUCGCGUCGGGAGUGAAAACAUCCAGCUUAACUGGGUGCUUGCUUUCGAUACGGGCAGACUUGAGGUAUGCAGGGGAGAAUGGAAUUCCUGGUGUAGCGGUGAAAUGCGCAGAUAUCAGGAGGAACACCGGUGGCGAAGGCGGUUCUCUGGGCAUUACCUGACGCUGAGGAGCGAAAGUGUGGGGAGCGAACAGG
rnacentral:rRNA from 1 species